AACUCUUUCCGAGGAAUUUGUUGAAAUCAUACUUCUUAAGGGCAUAGGUGAAGGUGAAUCAAGAAGGGAUGUAUCAUCUAUUUUUCUAGUUGGUUGCAUCGAAGAGGUUUUUUCGAGGCUACGCUAUGUCUGGGAUUUUAUAGAUUUUUCCACAUAGAUCUCCAAAGUGGUGAAGCACUCCUGAGAUAAGCUGCUGAAGCCGAUGUUAAUGGGGCAAUAUAUAUUCAUGGUAUUGCCUUGUUAAGGCUGGAAAGAGCCGAGGAUGCACUAAAAAAAUUCGCAGAAUAUGGCAUGAGCCAGGAGGAAGAGGUCAUAUGAUAAUGUUUCGUUCUGCAAUGAGAUUCGUGCUUGGCAAGGCUAAUUUUUUAAAGGUGUGCAGGACAACACUAUGCAAGAGUGGAGUAAUAGCGGGUCACUGGUCGCACCGGAACAUAAACGCUAUACUUGGUUUUAACGAACUUGACAUUACCUGUGAGAAUUGUUUGGUAGAUGUCGAAACAUUCAAGCUUGGACUGCCAGUGGGUUUCGAAGAGGAGAUAUUAUUAGCAAAUGUGUAACGUGCCAUCUUAAUAUAAUAAAAUUUGUAUUAUGUUUAUUGUAA